rnacentral:rRNA from 1 species
AUUGAACGCUGGCGGCAGGCCUAACACAUGCAAGUCGAACGAGUGGCGGACGGGUGAGUAAUGUCUGGGAAACUGCCCGAUGGAGGGGGAUAACUACUGGAAACGGUAGCUAAUACCGCAUACCAUCGGAUGUGCACAGAUGGGGUUAGCUAGUGGGUGGGGUAACGGCUCACCUAGGCGACGAUCCCUAGCUGGUCUGCGAGGAUGACCAGCCACCCUGGAACUGAGACACGGUCCAUACUCCUACGGGAUGCAGCAGUGGGGAAUAUUGCACAAUGGGCGCAAGCCUGAUGCAGCCAUGCGGCGUGUAUGAAGAAGGCCUUCGGGUUGUAAAGUACUUUCAGCGGGGAGGCGUUACCCGCAGAAGAAGCACCGGCUAACUCCGUGCCAGCAGCCGCGGUAAUUC